CCUACGGGAGGCAGCAGUGGGGAAUAUUGCACAAUGGGGGAAACCCUGAUGCAGCGACGCCGCGUGAGUGAAGCAGUAAUUCGUUAUUUAAAGCUCUAUCAGCAGGGAAGAAAAUGCCGGUACCUGAGGAAGAAGCCCCGGCUAACUACGUGCCAGCAGCCGCGGUAAUACGUAGGGGGCAAGCGUUAUCCGGCGUUACUGGGUGUAAAGGGAGCGUAGACGGCAGUGCAAGUCUGGAGUGAAAGGCGGGGGCUGAACACCCGGACUGCUCUGGAAACUGUACGGCUGGAGUGCAGGAGUGGGAAGGGGAAUGCCUAGUGUAGCGGUGAAAUGCGUAGAUAUUAGGAGGAACACCAGUGGCGAAGGCGGCUUACUGGACUGUAACUGACGUUGAGGCUCGAAAGCGUGGGGAGCAAACAGGAUUAGAUACCCCAGUAGUC
rnacentral:rRNA from 1 species